AGUGAACGCUGGCGGUAGGCCUAACACAUGCAAGUCGAACGGCAGCACAGUAAGAGCUUGCUCUUACGGGUGGCGAGUGGCGGACGGGUGAGGAAUACAUCGGAAUCUACUUUUUCGUGGGGGAUAACGUAGGGAAACUUACGCUAAUACCGCAUACGACCUACGGGUGAAAGCAGGGGAUCUUCGGACCUUGCGCGAUUGAAUGAGCCGAUGUCGGAUUAGCUAGUUGGCGGGGUAAAGGCCCACCAAGGCGACGAUCCGUAGCUGGUCUGAGAGGAGGAUCGGCCACACUGGAACUGAGACACGGUCCAGACUCCUACGGGAGGCAGCAGUGGGGAAUAUGGGACAAUGGGCGCAAGCCUGAUCCAGCCAUACCGCGUGGGUGAAGAAGGCCUUCGGGUUGUAAAGCCCUUUUGUUGGGAAAGAAAAGCAGCAGGUUAAUACCCCGCUGUUCUGACGGUACCCAAAGAAUAAGCACCGGCUAACUUCGUG
rnacentral:rRNA from 1 species